GCAGCCUGGCGCGCGCCGGCCGGGCCGCACCGCUGCGGGCUCGGCGCGCGCGGGCCAUGUCCGCCUUCUGCCUGGGCUUGGCCGGCCGAGCUUCAGCACCCGCCGAGCCGGACAGCGCCUGCUGCAUGGAGCUGCCCGCUGGGGCCGGGGACGCAGUCCGGAGUCCCACCGCCGCCGCCGCCGCCGCCCUCGUCUCCUUCCCCGGGGGUCCCGGGGAACUGGAACUGGCCUUAGAGGAGGAGCUGGCGUUGCUGGCGGCCGGGGAGCGGCCGUCCGAGCCCGGCGAGCAUCCUCAGGCGGAGCCAGAGUCUCCGGUUGAGGGGCACGGAUCGCCGCCGCCGCCUACCCAGGAUCCCGAGCUGCUGUCGGUGAUCCGCCAGAAGGAGAAGGAUCUGGUGUUGGCGGCCCGGCUAGGCAAGGCGCUGCUCGAGAGGAACCAGGACAUGAGCCGGCAGUACGAGCAGAUGCACAAGGAGCUGACGGACAAGCUGGAGCACCUAGAACAAGAGAAACAUGAACUGAGAAGGCGAUUCGAGAAUCGAGAAGGGGAGUGGGAAGGACGGGUGUCUGAGCUGGAGACUGACGUGAAGCAGCUACAGGACGAACUGGAGAGGCAGCAGGUCCAUCUUCGGGAAGCCGACCGAGAGAAAACCCGAGCUGUCCAGGAACUGUCAGAACAGAACCAAAGGCUGCUGGAUCAACUCAGCAGGGCGUCUGAAGUUGAGAGACAGCUCUCCAUGCAGGUCCAUGCUCUCAGAGAAGACUUCCGGGAGAAAAACUCAUCCACCAACCAGCACAUCAUCCGGCUGGAGAGCCUACAGGCCGAGCAGGUCCUUGAAAUCAAGAUGUUGUCAGAUCGAAAACGGGAGCUGGAGCAUCGGCUCAGUGCCACCUUGGAGGAGAAUGACCUGCUUCAGGGGACUGUGGAGGAGCUACAGGACCGGGUGCUGAUCCUGGAAAGGCAGGGCCAUGACAAAGACCUGCAGCUGCACCAAAGCCAGCUGGAGCUCCAGGAGGUGCGGCUGUCCUACCGGCAGCUGCAGGGCAAGGUGGAGGAGCUCACGGAGGAGAGGAGCUUGCAGAGCUCGGCCGCGACCAGCACGUCCCUGCUGUCAGAGAUGGAGCAGAGCAUGGAGGCCGAGGAGCUGGAGCAGGAGAGAGAGCAGCUGAGGCUGCAGCUCUGGGAAGCCUACUGCCAGGUUCGCUAUCUCUGCUCACACCUUCGAGGGAAUGACAGCGCCGACUCAGCCGUGUCCACAGACUCGUCCAUGGACGAGUCCUCAGAGACCUCGUCGGCCAAGGACGUGCCUGCUGGCAGCCUGCGCACCGCCCUCAAUGACCUCAAGAGACUGAUCCAGAGCAUCGUGGACGGCGUGGAGCCCACGAGCACCCGGAGGAUGGACGAUGACUCCUUAGAAGAGCAAAUAAGGCAGACCACUGAGGACUCAAGAGCCCUGAGGGAGCUCAUGGAGGGAGAGAGGGGUAAACUGAGGCAGAGCCUAGAAGAGCUACAGCAACUCCACAGUCAGGUGACACUGCUGAGUGUGGAGAUGACUGCACUGAAGGAAGAAAGGGACCGACUCAGAGUGACCUCCGAGGACAAGGAGCCAAAGGAGCAGCUUCAGAAGGCUAUCAGGGACCGGGACGAGGCCAUCGCCAAGAAGAACGCUGUGGAGCUGGAACUCGCCAAAUGCAAGAUGGACAUGAUGUCUCUGAACAGCCAGCUACUGGAUGCCAUUCAGCAGAAACUGGACCUCUCUCAGCAGCUUGAGGCUUGGCAGUUCGCGUCCUCGGGGCUCUUUACUGUCUGGCUGCUUUGGUUUCUGAUCUAGUGGCCUUUCUCAGUUCCUGUGCCAACAGCUUUAGUUGUACACCCCUCCUGCCUUUGAGGAUGACAUGCACAGGGUCAUUGACAGGCAGCUGAUGGACACGCACCUGAAGGAACAGAGCCGGCCCGCUGCUGCUGCCUUCCCUAGGGGCCACGGCAUAGGGCGGGGGCAGGAACCCAGCACCACAGACGGCAAACGGCUCUUCUCCUUCUUCAGGAAAAUUUAGGUGGGGAGCAGUCUGGCCAUUGAGAAGGGGGGACUAGCGGCAGUCUGAAAAGGGCUACCCCUUAGCUGGAGCCGGGCAGCUACACUGUCUGCCUACCGGCCCUGGAGCCCAAUUAGCUCCAGAGAGCUCACUCCCUAUGUCAAUGUAAUGGAGACUGAGAGGUAGGGGGCCUGCCUUGUCCUCUGAAGGCUGCCCCCCACCAAGGGACGGAGUGAACCCUGUCCCCACUGCUCAAGCCAAGCCGCAGCCUGGGCUUUCCCAGGAUCCAGUUAGUGACAGGGCUCAGCCGCACAGACCCACAGCCCACCCUAGAGGCUCUGCUGCCUUCUUGGAUUUUGAACGUGGGGAAGAGAUUGAGGCCUCCUGUGCAUGCCUCAGGAGGCCUGAGCCUCCACUCGAGCCCCAGCCACCGGCCUGGAGUAGGGGAGGCCCGGCCCCUCACCCGUGUGCAUGCACCUCUGCUGGAGCCCUGCACAGCAGGAGGCCCAGCCUGUGGCUGUGAGGCCUAAGAACCGGGUGUACAAGCUCUGUUGAGGCCAUCCUGUACCCCAGGGAAGGCCAUCUUCUGGCUGCCUCCAGUGCAGUCCUUACCCCUAGGGAGGCCUGGGCCGGGCAGCAUUCCCAUUGCCCCUGUAGGCUUUUUAGCCUCCAGACUCCCCCUCAUGGGAUAGGACUUGUCUUCCACAGCACCCUCCCACCUCAAAUGCAACUUCUUGGCCAAGCUGAGCAAGUUGAGGCCACAAGAGCGGCCUCUGAGGGGCCUGGUUCUACUACCCUCACACUGAAGGUCGCGUGGGUGCCACAGGGUAGAUGGGGUAAGGCUGCUGGGAGCCUCCAGAUACUGCCCACCAGGCCUCUAAGGGACAAAGGCCUAAGCCUGCUGCUUCUGCUCCUUCUGCAGCAGCCCCCACCCCCCCAUCUCUGCUGAGGCCCCAGCUCAGAGGCUGUGGGCCCAGCCUGCAGCUGCUCACCUCUCUCUGAGCCUCCUGCCCUCCACAGGAAAAGCACAGCAGGGCUGAGCGGAAAGAAUGUACUUAUAGAUAUGUACAUACCACAGUGCUGUAAUUUUGUAUGUAGCAAUUGUGUAAAUACAUGUAUGGAUUUUAUAAUACACACAUAUAAAUCUAUAAAGGCAUAUUUUUAGAAAAACAGCGCACCACUGCUUCUUUUGCAAAUAGUCUGAAUAAGAAUAAAAUGAAUUUCUACAGA